UACGUAGGAGGCGAGCGUUGUCCGGAAUUACUGGGCGUAAAGAGCGCGUAGGCGGCGCGGUACGACCGCUGUGAAAGCCCCCAGCUCAACUGGGGAGGGUCAGCGGUAACGGCCGUGCUAUGAGUGCAGGAGAGGGAAGUGGAACUCCGGGAGUAGCGGUGAAAUGCGUAGAGACCCGGAGGAACACCAGUGGCGAAGGCGGCUUCCUGGUCUGCGACUGACGCUGUGGCGCGAAAGCUAGGGGAGCGAGCGGG
rnacentral:rRNA from 1 species